UUGGAUAACAACACAGAGAUGUCAGUAUAUAUUACGGAUUACAAAUGUGUCGAGGUUUGUGAUUGGAUAACAACACAGAGAUGUCAGUAUAUAUUCAGGAAACUGCCGGGGUUUUUAUCCCCAAUUGGAACCUCAAAAACGUCAUCAUAACACCGGUUACUAUGUGACGUAGUCAAAAGCUAUCAGACUGUCAAAGGCUCACAGAGGGAAAAUAAUGACGUGCUUCAGUCAAUAAUACAUUUUUGAUACAAAAUCACGCAUUUUACACUUUAAUACUUAAAUUUAAUGUUAAAAGUGUUAUUAUAAAUUAUUACAUACACGAUAAAAUUAUGUUCACAGCAAAUUAGAAAAUCCUUCACGUAUGCCGAACAUAUCAGGUUAGGUUUUUCAAUAUAUAUGUGUUGUCAACAAAUACCUGCA
rnacentral:lncRNA from 1 species